rnacentral:sRNA from 1 species
GAACUAUGCACCACUCCAAAAAAUAGUCUUUGAUCUGAUUUCCACUACCACAGAGACUUAUUUUCCAGUUUCCUUCCAUUUGAAGAAAUCGACAACUCUGUGAUCUUCUUAUACUCAG